rnacentral:rRNA from 1 species
GAUGAACGCUGGCGGCGUGCCUAAUACAUGCAAGUCGAGCGAACAGACGAGGAGCUUGCUCCUCUGCCGUUAGCGGCGUACGGGUGAGUAACCCGUGGAUAACCUACCUAUAAGACUGGGAUAACUUCGGGAAACCGGAGCUAAUACCGGAUAAUAUAUUGAACCGCAUGGUUCAAUAGUGAAAGACGGUUUUGCUGUCACUUAUAGAUGGAUCCGCGCCGCAUUAGCUAGUUGGUAAGGUAACGGCUUACCAAGGCAACGAUGCGUAGCCGACCUGAGAGGGGGAUCGGCCACACUGGAACUGAGACACGGUCCAGACUCCGACGGGAGGCAGCAGUAGGGAAUCUUCCGCAAUGGGCGAAAGCAUGACGGAGCAACGCCGCGUGAGUGAUGAAGGUCUUCGGAUCGUAAAACUCUGUUAUUAGGGAAGAACAAAUGUGUAAGUAACUAUGCACGUCUUGACGGUACCUAAUCAGAAAGCCACGGCUAACUACGUG